rnacentral:rRNA from 13 species
GUCAAGCGAAUAAGCGCACACGGUGGAUGCCUUGGCGGUCAGAGGCGAUGAAGGACGUGGCAGCCUGCGAAAAGUAUCGGGGAGCUGGCAACAAGCUUUGAUCCGGUAAUGUCCGAAUGGGGAAACCCACCCGCUUGCGGGUAUCCUGCAGUGAAUACAUAGCUGCUGGAAGCGAACCUGGUGAACUGAAAUAUCUAAGUAACCAGAGGAAAAGAAAUCAACCGAGAUUCCC